rnacentral:rRNA from 1 species
UCAAGCUAAUAAGGGCUAACGGUGGAUACCUAGGCACACGGAAGCGAAGAAGGACGUAGUUACCGACGAAACGCUUCGGGGAGCGGGAAGCAAGCAUUGAUCCGAAGAUAUCCGAAUGGGGCAACCCUAAACACGACCACCUGAAUACAUAGGGUGGAGCGAGCAAACCUGGUGAACUGAAACAUCUUAGUAGCCAGAGGAAAAGAAAGCAACAGCGAUUCCCCCAGUAGCGGCGAGCGAAAAGGGAACAGCCUAAACCAAGUUCUGCGGAACUUGGGGUCGUGGGACAGUAACAAAAGACUGGGAAAUUUAGACGAAGCGGCUGAAAACCGCACCAGAGAGGGUGAAAGUCCUGUAGUCGAAAAAGGAACCAGCUUAACUGCAUCCCGAGUAGCAUGGGGCACGUGAAAUCCCGUGUGAAUCUGCCUCGACCACGAGGUAAGGCUAAAUAUUCCCGUGUGACCGAUAGAGAAACAGUACCGCGAGGGAAAGGUGAAAAGAACCCCGGAAGGGGAGUGAAAUAGAACAUGAAACCGUUAGCCUACAAGCAAUGGGAGGACGAUUGAACGUCUGACCGUGUGCCUGUUGAAGAAUGAGCCGGCGACUUACAGGUUAUGGCAGGUGAAGGGGGAAGACCCCACAGCCCCAGCGAAAGCGAGUCUGAAUAGGGCGAAACGUCAUAAUUUGUAGACCCGAACCCGGGUGAUCUAACCAUGGCCAGGAUGAAGCUUGGGUAAAACCAAGUGGAGGUCCGAACCGACUAAUGUUGAAAAAUUAGCGGAUGAGCUGUGGUUAGGGGUGAAAUGCCAAUCGAACUCGGAGCUAGCUGGUUCUCCCCGAAAUGUGUUGAGGCGCAGCGGUAGUGGAAGUUUAGUCGGGGUAAAGCACUGUUUCGCCGCGGGCUGGGAGACCGGUACCAAGGCGAGGCAAACUCUGAAUACGGCUAAAAAAACUACCAGUGAGACGGUGGGGGAUAAGCUUCAUCGUCAAGAGGGAAACAGCCCAGACCACCAGCUAAGGUCCCCAAAUGAUAACUAAGUGAGAAAGGAGGUGGGAGUGCAUUGACAACCAGGAGGUUUGCCUAGAAGCAGCAACCCUUAAAAGAGUGCGUAAUAGCUCACUGGUCAAGCGCUCCUGCGCCGAAAAUGAACGGGGCUAAGUUAUCUACCGAAGCUGUGGACUACAUUGUAGUGGUAGGGGAGCGUUCUAUAGGGGGUGAAGCAGUAGCGGCAAGCAGCUGUGGACUCUAUAGAAGUGAGAAUGUCGGCUUAAGUAGCGAAAAUGUGGGUGAGAAUCCCACACCCCGAAACCCCAAGGUUUCCUCCGCAAGGCUCGUCCGCGGAGGGUCAGUCAGGACCUAAGGCGAGGCUGAAAAGCGUAGUCGAUGGACAACGGGUUAACAUUCCCGUACCGAUUAAUGAUUGUGCCGGAGAACGGAGAAGGUCAACGUCAGCUGGAUGUUGGUUACCAGUGCAAGCAGUCGAGGCGAUGAGAGGUGGUGAAAACACCAGGAGCUAAGACGCGAGUCCCACCUCCCACGGGAGGGAAGUGGCGCUGAUCAAGCUUCCUAGAAAAGCCCGAACCACGUUAAUCAUUAAUUGCCUGUACCCGAAACCGACACAGGUGGGGAAGUAGAGAAUACUAAGGGGCGCGAGAUAACUCUCUCUAAGGAACUCGGCAAAAUGACCCCGUAACUUCGGGAGAAGGGGUACCCUCGCAAGAGGGUCGCAGUGAAUAGGCCCAGGCGACUGUUUACCAAAAACACAGGUCUCCGCCAAGUCGUAAGACGCAGUAUGGAGGCUGACGCCUGCCCAGUGCCGGAAGGUUAAGGAAGUUGGUCAGGAGUAAUCUGAAGCUGACGACCGAAGCCCCGGUGAACGGCGGCCGUAACUAUAACGGUCCUAAGGUAGCGAAAUUCCUUGUCGGGUAAGUUCCGACCCGCACGAAAGGCGUAACGAUCUGGGCACUGUCUCGGAGAGAGACUCGGCGAAAUAGGAUUGUCUGUGAAGAUACGGACUACCUGCACCUGGACAGAAAGACCCUAUGAAGCUUUACUGUAGCCUGGAAUUGGCUUCGGGCUUCGCUUGCGCAGGAUAGGUGGGAAGCUUUGAAACUCUCCUCGUGGGGAGAGUGGAGCUAACGGUGAGAUACCACUCUGGCGAGGCUAGAAUUCUAACCCUGACCCCUAAUCGGGGCGGGAGACAGUUUCAGGUGGGCAGUUUGACUGGGGCGGUCGCCUCCUAAAAGGUAACGGAGGCGCGCAAAGGUUCCCUCGGUCCCGUUGGAAAUGGGACGAUAGAGUGCAAAAGCAGAAGGGAGCUUGACUGUGAGACCCACAAGUCGAACAGGGACGAAAGUCGGCUUUAGUGAUCCGACGGCACCGCGUGGAAGGGCCGUCGCUCAACGGAUAAAAGUUACUCUAGGGAUAACAGGCUGAUCUCCCCCAAGAGUUCACAUCGACGGGGAGGUUUGGCACCUCGAUGUCGGCUCAUCGCAACCUGGGGCUGAAGUCGGUCCCAAGGGUUGGGCUGUUCGCCCAUUAAAGCGGUACGUGAGCUGGGUUCAGAACGUCGUGAGACAGUUCGGUCCAUAUCCGGUGUAGGCGUAAGAGCAUUGCGAGGAGCCUUCCUUAGUACGAGAGGACCGGGAAGGACGCACCGCUGGUGUACCUGUUAUCGUGCCAACGGUAAACGCAGGGUAGCCAUGUGCGGAGCGGAUAACCGCUGAAAGCAUCUAAGUGGGAAGCCCACCUCCAGAUGAUUGCUCUCAUGGCAUUAAGCCAGUAAGGUCUCGGGUAGACUACCCGUUGAUAGGCUCUAGAUGGAAGCUCGGUAACGAGUGCAGUCGAGGAGUACUAACCGACCGAGGGCUUGACCUG